AUAGUUUCCACGGAGCCCACAAAAAAAAGCAUUUGAUAAACUGAAGCUUCUUGAUGUCAUAUCAAGUGUUGUCCGCUGCCGUUUUACAAAGUCUCUUGUUACCAAUAAACAUAUAAGCGAUCCAAUUAAAUCAUGGCUGCGUCAUGCCCCUGCGCGCUUUUCACGAGAACAAAAGAAAAUAACACAUGUUGCGAAUGAUUUGGAAAUCGUGGCCGAGGAUGAAAUCAAUGAAGUCGAUAAUGAAAACCAAGUUAAUACUGUGGCUAAUAACGCAGCUGAUAAAAAUAUUAAUGAGAAAAUAGUUGAUGAAAAUCUUCUAAAUAGUGAUGAAAAAAAUCUAAGGUA